rnacentral:misc_RNA from 1 species
GGACUCUUCAUCGAGAUCCGCUCCUCUUGAAAUGCAUUAGCGGUCCUGCCCAUUCGCAGACUCGCCCCGGCGUGAUAGUUAUCUACGUCGCGGUGGGAAUGCCCCUAUCCGGUGCAGCCGCUCCUAACCGUCGCCCCCUUUUGCGACAACCCCUAUGACAAUUUGACCUCAAAUCAGGUAGGAUUACCCGCUGAACUUAA